rnacentral:rRNA from 1 species
AACCCCUAUCUUUAAUUGCCAUCAUUCAGUUGGGCACUUUAGAGAGACUGCCGGUGUUAAGCCGGAGGAAGUGGGGAUGACGUCAAGUCCUCAUUGGCCUUUAUGUCUAGGGCUACACACGUGCUACAAUGGGUGGUACAAAGAGCAGCUAACUCGCGAGAGUAUGCAAAUCUCAAAAAGCCAUCCUCAGUUCGGAUUGGAGUCUGCAACUCGACCCCAUGAAGUUGGAAUCGCUAGUAAUCGCGGAUCAGCAUGCCGCGGUGAAUACGGUUCCCGGGCCUU